rnacentral:lncRNA from 1 species
UUCUCAGAAUGCUUCUGUGUAGUUUUUAUGUGAAGAUAUUUGCUUUUCCACAGUAGGCCUCAAAGCGCUACAAAUAUCCACUUGCAGAUUCUACAAAAACAGUGUUUCAAAACUGCUAAAUCAAAAGAUAGGUGCAACUCUGUGAGAUGAAUGCACACAUCACAAAGAAGUUUCUCAGAUUGCUUCUGUGUCGUUUUUAUGUGGAGAUAUUUCUUUUUCCACCACAGG